UCGAGAAUCUUCGGCAAUGGGCGCAAGCCUGACCGAGCGACGCCGCGUGUGGGAUGAAGGCCUUCGGGUUGUAAACCACUGUCAGAGGGGAGGAAAUGCGUGGGGGUACUCCCCCAUGUUUGACCUAGCCUCAGAGGAAGGACGGGCUAAGUUCGUGCCAGCAGCCGCGGUAAGACGAACCGUCCAAACGUUAUUCGGAAUUACUGGGCUUAAAGGGUGCGUAGGCGGCGCGGAAAGUAGGGUGUGAAAUCCCUCGGCUUAACCGAGGAACUGCGUCCUAAACUACCGUGCUCGAGGGAGAUAGAGGUGAGCGGAACUUAGGGUGGAGCGGUGAAAUGCGUUGAUAUCCUAAGGAACACCGGUGGCGAAAGCGGCUCACUGGAUCUCUUCUGACGCUGAGGCACGAAAGCUAGGGUAGCGAACGGGAUUAGAUACCCCUGUAGUCC
rnacentral:rRNA from 1 species